rnacentral:rRNA from 1 species
GAUGAACGCUGGCGGCGUGCUUAACACAUGCAAGUCGAACGAUGAAGCCCAGCUUGCUGGGUGGAUUAGUGGCGAACGGGUGAGUAACACGUGAGUAACCUGCCCUUAACUCUGGGAUAAGCCUGGGAAACUGGGUCUAAUACCGGAUAGGAGCGUCCACCGCAUGGUGGGUGUUGGAAAGAUUUAUCGGUUUUGGAUGGACUCGCGGCCUAUCAGCUUGUUGGUGAGGUAAUGGCUCACCAAGGCGACGACGGGUAGCCGGCCUGAGAGGGUGACCGGCCACACUGGGACUGAGACACGGACCAGACUCCUACGGGAGGCAGCAGUGGGGAAUAUUGCACAAUGGGCGCAAGCCUGAUGCAGCGACGCCGCGUGAGGGAUGACGGCCUUCGGGUUGUAAACCUCUUUCAGUAGGGAAGAAGCGAAAGUGACGGUACCUGCAGAAGAAGCACCGGCUAACUACGUG